UAGAGUUUGAUCCUGGCUCAGGACGAACGCUGGCGGCGUGCUUAACACAUGCAAGUCGAGCGAUGAAGCUUCCUUCGGGAAGUGGAUUAGCGGCGGACGGGUGAGUAACACGUGGGUAACCUGCCUCAAAGUGGGGGAUAGCCUUCCGAAAGGAAGAUUAAUACCGCAUAAUAUAAGAGAAUCGCAUGAUUUUCUUAUCAAAGAUUUAUUGCUUUGAGAUGGACCCGCGGCGCAUUAGCUAGUUGGUAAGGUAACGGCUUACCAAGGCAACGAUGCGUAGCCGACCUGAGAGGGUGAUCGGCCACAUUGGAACUGAGACACGGUCCAGACUCCUACGGGAGGCAGCAGUGGGGAAUAUUGCGCAAUGGGGGAAACCCUGACGCAGCAACGCCGCGUGGGUGAUGAAGGUCUUCGGAUUGUAAAGCCCUGUUUUCUAGGACGAUAAUGACGGUACUAGAGGAGGAAGCCACGGCUAACUACGUGCCAGCAGCCGCGGUAAUACGUAGGUGGCGAGCGUUGUCCGGAUUUACUGGGCGUAAAGGGUGCGUAGGCGGAUGUUUAAGUGGGAUGUGAAAUCCCCGGGCUUAACCUGGGGGCUGCAUUCCAAACUGGAUAUCUAGAGUGCAGGAGAGGAAAGCGGAAUUCCUAGUGUAGCGGUGAAAUGCGUAGAGAUUAGGAAGAACACCAGUGGCGAAGGCGGCUUUCUGGACUGUAACUGACGCUGAGGCACGAAAGCGUGGGUAGCAAACAGGAUUAGAUACCCUGGUAGUCCACGCCGUAAACGAUGGAUACUAGGUGUAGGGGGUAUCAACUCCCCCUGUGCCGCAGUUAACACAAUAAGUAUCCCGCCUGGGGAGUACGGUCGCAAGAUUAAAACUCAAAGGAAUUGACGGGGGCCCGCACAAGCAGCGGAGCAUGUGGUUUAAUUCGAAGCAACGCGAAGAACCUUACCUGGACUUGACAUCCCUUGCAUAGCCUAGAGAUAGGUGAAGCCCUUCGGGGCAAGGAGACAGGUGGUGCAUGGUUGUCGUCAGCUCGUGUCGUGAGAUGUUAGGUUAAGUCCUGCAACGAGCGCAACCCUUGUUAUUAGUUGCUACCAUUAAGUUGAGCACUCUAAUGAGACUGCCUGGGUAACCAGGAGGAAGGUGGGGAUGACGUCAAAUCAUCAUGCCCCUUAUGUCCAGGGCUACACACGUGCUACAAUGGUAGGUACAAUAAGACGCAAGACCGUGAGGUGGAGCAAAACUUAUAAAACCUAUCUCAGUUCGGAUUGUAGGCUGCAACUCGCCUACAUGAAGCUGGAGUUGCUAGUAAUCGCGAAUCAGAAUGUCGCGGUGAAUACGUUCCCGGGCCUUGUACACACCGCCCGUCACACCAUGAGAGCUGGUAACACCCGAAGUCCGUGAGGUAACCGUAAGGAGCCAGCGGCCGAAGGUGGGAUUAGUGAUUGGGGUGAAGUCGUAACAAGGUAGCCGUAGGAGAACCUGCGGCUGGAUCACCUCCUUU
rnacentral:rRNA from 1 species